rnacentral:lncRNA from 1 species
UUGUUCCACGAGAAUUGCUUGGUGUUGCCGAGAGGUCGCGGAUGAGAGUAAUACAUGAAGAAGAAGCCAAUUGCUAGCGCCACACAUAGAAGGCCGAUUGUCAAGUAAGCCGUGCCGACGAAGUUAUUCUUACCGCCCAUCCAACUGGUAGUGGAUAGAACCAGCUUCUUCUGGCCAUUGAAGCUGAAGCAGUUGUACACGUUCUGGAUGUUCACUUGCAGCUCGUCGCCAGGGUACAGGUCUCGCUCGAUCCGUCCCCACAAUUUGCGAAACUUGGACAAAGCAGCGGGGCGCAUCCACACCCAGAGGUCCUCGUUGUCUCUCAGCGGUGAGUCCACAGGCAAUUUCCCUCCGCCGAUGUACGCUGAGGGGUUAUUGUUCUGGAAAUUGGAGGCAUACACAGUGCUGCUCACUUUGUCCAUGUCCGAUUUCCAGGCAAUGCCUUUUUUGUUGACAGGAACAGACGUGCCGUUGUUUAGGGCUAGGCUGUAGGUGUCAUUGAAGAAGCUCCAUGCAACGAGGCCGCAGGGAAUGACAGGCUGACCUCCGACGGAGUCCUCUGGUGCACAGAUUUUGAGUUGCUCGGGGCUGGCUUGUUGGCCCUGCAAUUGAGGCUCAGACUUGCUCUUGACAUAGCGAUGGUGGUUUUGAUGAAAAUUGGUGAUUUCGUAGUACAUGUAGAUGGGCUGCUUCAUGAGCUUCAGGAUCCUAAUUGUGCGGGUGCAGUUUUUAGGGUUACUGGGGUUCUUGAUGAAGCUAAUUCGUUCCUCUCUUGUGCGAAGGCUUUGGUUCACUUGUGCAGCGGAGUUGUCGAGACACGCGUGCCCGUAGUGGUCAACCAAUUCCACGACGCUUGUCGACGCAAGGAGUGUGGCGAUACCGAUGGGGAUGAAGACGACGCCGACGGUCAUGAACACUGCAACAAUGCGUG